rnacentral:rRNA from 1 species
UGAGGAAUAUUGCGCAAUGGAGGAAACUCUGACGCAGCAACGCCGCGUGGGUGAAGAAGGCUUUCGGGUUGUAAAGCCCUGUCAGGCGGGAAGAAACUUCCGCAGGUGAAUAGUCUGUGGAACUGACGGUACCGCCAAAGGAAGCACCGGCUAACUCCGUGCCAGCAGCCGCGGUAAGACGGAGGGUGCAAGCGUUGUUCGGAAUUACUGGGCGUAAAGCGCGUGUAGGCGGUCCGAUAAGUCGAGUGUGAAAGCCCGAGGCCCAACCUCGGAAGUGCAUUCGAAACUGUCGGGCUUGAGUACGGGAGAGGGAAGUGGAAUUCCUGGUGUAGAGGUGAAAUUCGUAGAUAUCAGGAGGAACACCGGUGGCGAAGGCGGCUUCCUGGACCGAUACUGACGC